AGCGAACGCUGGCGGCAGGCCUAGCACAUGCAAGUCGAACGAAGUCUUCGGACUUAGUGGCGGACGGGUGAGUAACACGUGGGAACGUACCUUUUGGUUCGGAACAACUCAGGGAAACUUGAGCUAAUACCGGAUGAGCCCUUAGGGGGAAAGAUUUAUCGCCGAAAGAGCGGCCCGCGUUAGAUUAGCUAGUUGGUGAGGUAAAGGCUCACCAAGGCUACGAUCUAUAGCUGGUCUGAGAGGAUGAUCAGCCACACUGGGACUGAGACACGGCCCAGACUCCUACGGGAGGCAGCAGUGGGGAAUCUUGCGCAAUGGGCGAAAGCCUGACGCAGCCAUGCCGCGUGAAUGAUGAAGGUCUUAGGAUUGUAAAAUUCUUUUACCAGGGACGAUAAUGACGGUACCUGGAGAAAAAGCCCCGGCUAACUUCGUGCCAGCCGCCGCAGUAACAC
rnacentral:rRNA from 1 species